UACGUAGGGUGCGAGCGUUGUCCGGAAUUAUUGGGCGUAAAGAGCUCGUAGGCGGUUUGUCACGUCUGCUGUGAAAUCCCCGAGGCUCAACCUCGGGCCUGCAGUGGGUACGGGCAGACUGGAGUGCGGUAGGGGAGAAUGGAAUUCCUGGUGUAGCGGUGGAAUGCGCAGAUAUCAGGAGGAACACCGGUGGCGAAGGCGGUUCUCUGGGCAUGACCUGACGCUGAGGAGCGAAAGCAUGGGGAGCGAACAGG
rnacentral:rRNA from 1 species